rnacentral:rRNA from 1 species
UACGAAGGGGGCUAGCGUUGUUCGGAAUCACUGGGCGUAAAGGGCGCGUAGGCGGCUUUAUAAGUCGGGGGUGAAAGCCUGUGGCUCAACCACAGAAUUGCCUUCGAUACUGUAUGGCUUGAGACCGGAAGAGGUAAGUGGAACUGCGAGUGUAGAGGUGAAAUUCGUAGAUAUUCGCAAGAACACCAGUGGCGAAGGCGGCUCACUGGCCCGAUACUGACGCUGAGGUGCGAAAGCGUGGGGAGCAAACAGG